UUACAGUUGUCGUAUUUUUACCUGUAACUGGUGACGUAGCUAUGCUGCACUGUGACACACAAAGACAUGUUAACAUUUGGUUUUAUUUAAUGGACUGUAUAAACAUGGAUUUUAUCUUCUGAGGAAAGAGGAAACUUGUGCUUAUUUAUCAAGUACAGUGUGGUUUUAGACAUAUCAAGUACAGUGUGGUUUUAAGACAAGAGGUUUUAUUAAGAAAUAAUUUAGCACAAGAAUAGUGUGGUCAGGACAAUAGUUUAAUGAUUUGAAAUUUUUUCUUGUGGGAGUAAUACCACAAUAAAAUUGAAUUGAAUGACAUCAAUAGAAGGCCUGUGGACAUAAAGUUUAUGGUGGACAGUUAAUGGAGUAAUUUGUUUGGUCAAGUGGUCUGGAGAUACAGGUAUAAAUAGACAGAAGUAUUGAAUUUUCCUCAAGAAAAUCAAUUAGUUUAUUGACGAUCCAAUGUAACAGACAUGUGAGCAUGCCAGCUGAUACUCUUUAAUAUUUAUGAUUUUUUACACCUGGUAUCCGAUGACACAUGAAUUCAGAAGUGGAGUAUUUUGUCAAAAAUGGAGACAGGAAAAUGUGCAGAUUCGGAAGACAAGGAUAAACAAGGGGCACUUUAUGAACAGCAAAGAUUUAGUUUCAGAUAUUAAGUCAAAAGUUGACUUUGAUGAAAUUAUUGACGUGUCCUUGGAAGGUCAAGAUUAUACAAACGGUUUGAAUGCUGAAGUGGAUCUUGAUGAAAGUGUUGAUAAAAAGGAUAGUCAAACUGACAAAGAUGAUGGAUUAGAUGAGAGUGGAAAUAAUGAGAAAAAUGAUCAGGAAUUAAUGAAUGGUCACAAAGGGGAUUCAGAAAAGUUAAAUGAAGAGAUAAAUUUGGAGAUUGGUAAAGACAGCAGUGACAUUGUAGAGAAUACAAAUACCAGUGAAGGUGUAUUUCUCGAAGGAAACAGUACAUCUGGUCCUGAAGAUAAAAGUGACAUGGGUAAUAAUUUGGAAAGCAAAGGUUUGGAGACAGAUGUAGAUGGUAAUAUAGAACAGAAUGUGAAAGAGCUUGAUCAGUCUGAGGAGGGAGAAUUAGAGAAUAACAAUGUAAAAGAAACGUUAGAUAAUGAAAAUUUAAAUCCUACACAAAAAGAAGGAUGUCCAGAUGAAAAUGUAAAUGACAAUGCACAUGAAUCAACAAAAGGCACAAAACAAGUAGAGAAUGCAAGUAAAGAGAAUUUGAAUACCAGCAUGGAUGCUGUAGAUACAACCAUUGAGGCAGAGUCAGAACCAAAGGAGAAUAAUUUGGAUAAUGAAAGUCCUGACAGUGAGGAAACAAGAGAUAAAGGCAACGAAAGUCAAGGUUUAGACUUUAAACUUGAUCCAAAAAGUGAGGAAUGUUCCACAGAUACUGAAGCAAAUUGUACAGCUGAUUUGGAGAAUGAGUCUUUGGAGGGUAAUAAGGAAGUAGAACAUAAUGAUGAUGAAGGAAUUAUUGAUAGAGAGAAAAUUCAAAACUUUAUAAAAGAAGUGAUAAAUGAUUUACAAGGAAUUGUAAUAGAAGCAGAUGAAUGUGAUUCAGUGGUUAAUGAAAUGUGUGAUGAAGAUACAAGAAGUGAAUUAGUCAGCGAUAAGACUGUGGCUGAUGAUGUUCAUGAAGUAGCUGUAACUACCGAAGCUCCUGAAAGUAGUGUGGAAAGUGAACCAAAAGAAGUUAUUGGAAACCAGGAAGAAACAAGUAUAGAAGCAUCUGAUGAAAUUUCAGGUUCUAAAAUGAAUGAAAUUGAAUUAAGUGGAAACAACACACCAUGUGAAUUGGUAAUAAAGGAAGAUACAGACACUACACAAACUUCUGAAACCCAUGUCAGUCAAACUGAAAAUGCACCAAAGACCAAUAACACUACAACUGAAGACCAUAAAACCUCAGAAUCCAGUGUGGACAAUGCUGGUGAUUUACCAAAGACACAUGACAUGCCUAGUGAACAUCAUGAUGAGAAAUGUAAUGUUCAUGAUGGGCAAGAAAAACAAAACACCACAGAGACACAAACUGAACAGCCCGUAAGAAGGAAAGAGAAGAAUGAUAUAACCAUGGUCGAAGAGGAAUUAAAGACGACACAGACGGCACUUCGAAAGUCGCAACAAUGCCUACAAGACGAACGUUCAAAACAUAAUCGUGAGGUCAUCUCUCUGAAACUACAGUUAUGUAGAAGUCAGACGGAAUUAAAACAGCAAAAGUCGAAAUCUGAAAAACAGCUAACAGAAAUCAUGUCCCAUCUCGUAAUGUUGGAAAGUAGAUUGAGACGGGAACAGUUAAAACUGCAAAGGGAUACGAGAGAUAAAAAUCAUGUGAUUGAAAACCAGAAAAAAGAAAUUGUGAAAUUGAAAGAUCAGAAUGAGCAGUUAAUGAAUGCAAUAAAGGAAAUUUGUGCAAAUGGUGGUAUGAAUGGAUAUAUGCGACGCAAAAAUGGAAAUUAUGGUGACAGCUUUGAAAAUAGUGCUAAGGGUAACCGUGAUAAAAAAGGUCAUGCUGGGAAGUUAGGUUCAAUGAAAGAUAAGUUUUCAUCCAAAAAUCGUAGCAGUUUGGAGUUAAGCAGUUUGAAUUUGGAGAAAUAUCUAAUAAAAAAUGAACGCCUGUGUUCUAGUCAGGAAGAUUUGCACAGGAUUGGAGAUGAACGGAGACGUAGCAUACCAAGUGGAGAUGAGAGAAUGGGCAGAAACCAAAGUCAUGACACUAGCCCAAAGGAUAGACCAGUCAGUGAUAACAGCGAAUAUAAAAAUGGAAAUCGUAAAAAGCAUGUCAGGUAUGCACAGCAAAAUUUCUUUUCUGAUUAUGGGUCUCCGAAAUAUGAAAUGAACAAAUCUGUAAGCGAUUCGUCACAUUUGAGUGAAUCAAGUGGUUUUCAUUCCUUAAGUGACCAUGACCUCUCUGCACAAACUGAUUCUUUAACAAAUGGUAACCAUGGCAACCAUGACUACACUGAGGAUGACGAAGAUGAUGACAGAAUAUUUUCAUUCAGUUCGACUCACAUUAACACGGUGAUAGAUGAGGAGGAGGCUAUGGGACCAGUCAUGUCACAUUCUGGUCCGAUGAUGUCAAUGGGUUCAAUGCCCAUGCUCGCUAACCUCAAAGAGGACCAACUUGGUUCAGGAAAGAAUCGACCUCAUUCCCUUUCAAGUGUGGAUCUUAUGUCUAUUCAACAACAGGCACAGAAUUUGUCCAAAUUUGAACACAAAAUAAGCCCGAAGGGGUCGCCCGUGUCAGAAAUGAGCACACCGCCUUCUAGUCCUUCGUACAUGCAUGCAAAGAAUGAAUUGACCCCGUUCCAAACUUUCAAAACAAUGUUUCGAAGAAAAGGAAGUAGUAAGAAUAAAGGUCAUAAAAAACGAUCUGUGUCUUUGUCGCAAACUACAAAUAUGGAGUACAGUGAAGCUUUGAAAAAGCAUUUUCAGAAAUAUGAUAUGUCGUAGUCGCUGGUUAUGUUACUGCAAGUAAAUAUUGGUCAGGUUGCUUAAUGAGUAAAUUAUGGACUGAUUAUGAAGUGUUUUGAACUGGCCAAAUAAACACAUUAUUGCUAGGUACCAUGUACUGUAAAAGCAUAUAUUUUCGUUGGGUCAAAAUUUCGCGAAUUUGAAAUUUUGAGUAUGUGCGCGAGAUUUUAUAUUCGCGAAAUUGUAAAAAUGGUAUCCUGUUUGAACUUUGAUUAUACCUAUGGUGAAAAUUAAGCAAGGAUUAAUUUUCGCGAGAUGUAAAGCCUCGCCAAUAUAGCGAAAAUUAAACCCUCGCGAAAAUUUCUGCUUUUACAGUAUUUUUAUAAAUGGUAACUGGUUGAAUUGACAGACUGUGGACUGGUUAUGGUUUGGUUAUUGUGAGUAGAUUUUUGACUGGUUGCUAUUUUUUAUUAUUGACAUUAUAUUUAUCAGGUAAACUAGUUUUUUUAAAAAAGGAAUUCUUUAUUUUUGAAAGUUUUGAUAGAUUAGCUAGAAUAAUUACACAGGCAAUUAUAAGAGGAAUAUCUUUAAACGCUAUGGAAAGUUAUACAUGUAUCUAUACUCAGACUGGUUGAAGAAAUAAGACCUAUAAAUUAUGUACCUGUACUUGAAAAUAAUGAAAUAUUUUCUGUGUUACUCAGUUACUGGAUUUUCGACUGUCUCUUUUAUUGUAUAUCCUAAGCAUCCAAAAAGCAUUGAUCAUUACCCAGCAACAAAUGGAGAGCAAACUGUAUUAAUAGAUGAGCUGCACCAUAAGAAAACCAACACAGUGUAUUUGCAACCAGCAUGGAUCCAGACCAGCCUACGUAUAUGUGUGAUCUGGUCAGGAUCCAUACUGUUCGCUAACGGUUUCUCUAAUUGCAAUAGGGUUUGAAAGCGAACAGCAUGGAUCCUGACCAGUCUGCAUGGAUGCGCAGGCUGGUCUGGAUCCAUGUUGGUGGCAGAUGCACUAUGUUGGUUUUCUCAAGGUGUGGCCCAAAUAGUUGCAUUAUUUACAUUUGGUAACAUGCUUUAUCUUCAGUUUUGCUUGUCAUUACAGAUGUAGCAAUUUAAAUAGCUGACCUCCCUUGUUAGAAAUCAUUGACAUUUUGACUUUACCGCAUUUUUUAAUUUCAACAUUCUGAUUUUUGUACAUAUCUGACAGACAUUUCUUUUGUUUUUAAAGGCACUGUGACCAGCAGUAGUUCUUGUAUAGUAUUUGUCUUGUCAUGUCACCUACCAUUCUGGAAAAGCUACAAGACCAACUGAUUGCAAAAGUUGAACUGAAAUACCGAAAAAAGAAAAGUUUUGGGUUUGAUAAAAUUAUAUGCUGCAAUAUAUGCCUAGCAAAUUCUUCUUUCUUCGCUAGUUUUUAGUGCCUGGUUCAAAAGACUUUGUAUUUAUUUGCAAAGCCUAAUUGUAUUUAAAUUUGGGUUUGAUUGCGUGACAUCCGCUCAUUAUAGGCCAUCUUUGAUGUCACUGCACUCAGAGAAGUUAAAAUGCAUGCACACUUUGUUUAAUUACCUUGGUAAAUUAUCUAUCAAAACUUUGACCCACAAAAUAUCAAAGUCCCUGCUAUGUUUUGACAAUUUUCCUUCAGACAAAUUAGUCUCUUUCAAGUUUAAAAACUCUUUUCUACAGAUAAUGUUAUAAAAUUGUUUGUAAAUUGGUGGACAGGCUUAAGGAGUAAAUUUUAUUUGACUAAAAGGCCUUUAAAAGUACAGAUAAGAGAAAUCAGGCAUGCAUGAAUAAUGAAAUAAAAAAAGGUUCAUGUUUAUAUGUCAGAUUGACAAUCAGUUGAUCUAACUUGAGGAUUGAGUUACAAAUCUUAAAGAUUUAUUCAAGUGACAGUACAAACAAAUUAGACAUUCACACAGAACACAGUGACAUCUGUUUUCUUAACAAAGCUACCAUUUACCAUUUGCAGAACAUACAAAAUAUGCAAAACAUAUAACAUAACACAGUGAUAUUACCUUUUACAUCAUUUGCAUACCAUUUUAAGCUAGAAUUUCUGGAAAUAUUUACUGUCACUUUUAUUCUCAGUUGAAAAUAAAUGUUGAAAGGAGGAAGGGCACUGGUCCUGGUAUGGUUCAAACCAUUCUCCUGUAGAUUGGUACUGAUCUCGGUACGGUUCAAACCAUUCUCCUGUAGAUUGGUAUUGAUCUCGGUACUGUUAAAACCAUUCUCCUGUAGAUUGGUACUGAUCUUAGUACGGUUAAAACCAUUCUCCUGUAGAUUGGUACUGAUUAGAGUGGUACUGAUCUCGGUACGGUUCAAACCAUUCUCCUGUAGAUUGGUACUGAUCUCGGUACAGUUCAAACCAUUCUCCUGUAGAUUGGUACUGAUCUCGGUACGGCUCAAAUCAUUCUCCUGUAGAUUGGUACUGAUUUCAGUAUGGUUAAAACCAUUCUCCUGUAGAUUGGUACUGAUCUCGGUACGGCUCAAAACAUUCUCCUGUAGAUUGGUACUGAUCUCAGUACUGCUUAAACCAUUCUCCUGUAGAUUGGUACUGAUCUCAGUACGGUUAAAACCAUUCUCCUGUAGAUUGGUACUGAUCUCAGUACGGUUAAAACAUUCUCCUCUAGAUUGAUACUGAUUUCAGUAUGGUUCAAACAAUUCUCCUCUGGAUUAGUACUGAUUUCAGCCAGUAAUUAUGACAUUUGUAAAAAAAGUUGAAUUUAUUACAUAGCAGUAUGAUGAACACACUCUUAUUUAACAGUUUUAAUAAGCAACCUUGUAACAUCACUUAAAGCAAUAUCAUUUUUCAAUUUAGACAUAAUUGGUUUAGAUUAAUAUACAUACAUCUGGUAUGAUUAAAUAAGUUACUAGUGGUAUCAUUGAGAACCAGUCUGUUGUCAGGAUAUAUAUGAUUUACGUCACUUUCAAACAAAUUAAUUUUAUUAUCCUCAAUUAUUUUAAAUGGUACCUUACAAUUCAUUACACCUGUUAUAUCACCUUGUAACAGGUGCUAUACUAAUGUAUGAUACAUAAAAAUUUAUAACAAAAUCGUUUAUAAUUUUUCUUCCCUCUUUUUACCACUGGCAAUAUACUUGAAAUUCAAAUUAUGGAAAAGUUUGGCUGUCUAUUUAAUUGUCACAAUUUGCUUGUUUAGAAAUAAUAAAUAAAUCCUGUAACUUGAUUGUAUUACCUCAUUGACCAGUAUUUUUUAUUCAGAUAUUGUCGUUUAUUAAAAAAUUAGCUGAUACCAAUUAUUGGAGGAGUUUAAAUGCCUCAUGCAUGUCUCCUGUAAUUAUAUUGCAGAUACCUCCCCCCACCCCCCACAUCUUGCAUGUUGUUUGCAAACAUUGCCUAUUUGAUAUCUUCACAGUAAGUAGUCCUUAUUUACAUGCAGUAAAGUUUUUUUGUUCAUUACUUACAUGUAGUUCUCGAGAAAAGACUUAAAAGGACAGAUCGAGCCCAACCUGGUGCCAAAAAAGAACCUUGUCUAGUUUUGCUUGUGAAAUUUUGAUUGAAUUUAAUGAGUGACAGAUCAAAACUGUCUGCUUUUAUGUAACUUUCUUAUAUUUGCUAAUUGAGCGUACAACAUUGUGGGCGGUGGCAUCAAUUGUCCAAAAGAAACCAAUAGUAAUUUAUCUUGUCUUGCUCUUUCAACCAAUGUCAUACUUUGUAAAGAAUGAAAAUCUACAUCUAUCCUGAAUUUCAUAGAAGCAUGUCUCUGUAUGACCCCCUAUAAGGAGUAGGUUAAAGAUUAAAUGAGUUAUAAUGUAGUUUGCUGCUCAGAGCUUACCUUACAUGGAAACAGGAUGUUACUUUCAAAUUAAACACUCUGCAACCAUAUUGUCUGCUUUAAAUGAUAUAAUCUGCUAAAGUGUGCCACAUCAAAGAAAAAUUUAUUUCUUUUUAAGUCUAGACAGCUAAACAUUUCUUUUAUGCCCCAGAAACACUUAAAACACACAGAACCAUAAUGAGCUUUGCCCUUCAGGCCUGUUAUCUCGGAUCCUAUAUCUGUCACAUUAAAAGAGUUUUGUUUUAUUCUUUCUUUGUCAGAUCCCUUUGUUUCAAAAACAAUGCAAACAUGCUGUAAAAACUUGACUUAAGUGAUUUGUCCUCUUCAAUGAAAGAUGGCAGAAUUAGAUAAAGCUGCCACAGUUUUCUCUUAAAAGAGUCACUUUUGUAAAUUACUUGAGGUUUUUGGCUGAAGUGCUGUUCCACUCAUUCUUUUUAAUUAAGUCAUUUUUGCCUCAUACUAGUUAUUGUAAAAAAUUACCAUCUUUUUCACAUGCUCAACCAAUGUUUUAUAACAUAAGUAAGGAUUUUCACUGUAAAUUUUACCACUUUUCCCAACAUAUAUUUUGAGUACUUCCACCAUUAUGAUUAUGAUAUCAUAACAAAUCUACUCAUUAAGUUCUUAUAACAGAAACACAGAUAUAUUAUAAGCCCAUUAUACUUGUAUAAUACCAGUCAUAUAUAAAUAAAUAUUCAUUUAUCAAUCUUUAAAUGUUAGUUGACAUGACGGCUCAUAGGAUGUCAUUCAGACUUCCUCCAUUUUGUGAAUCCUGACCAAACUGAGGUAAAACUCAAACCUUAUACAAAUAACAGCUCUCUCAGCAUUGAGGUAAAAAUCAAACCCCUUACUAUAAUAACAGCAGUGUUAUUGACAUUGAGGUAAAAAUCAUUAAACUCCUUGGUACAACAACAGCUAUCCAGUUGCAUUGAGGUAAAAAUCAAACCCCUUACUAUAAUAACAGCUGUGUUAUUGACAUUGAGGUAAAAAUCAUUAAACUCCUUGGUACAACAACAGCUAUCCAGUUGCAUUGAGGUAAAAAUCAAACCCCUUACUAUAAUAACAGCAGUGUUAUCGACAUUGAGGUAAAAAUCAUCAAAAUCCUUGGUACAAAAAACAGCUGUCCAGUUGCAUUGAGGUAAAAAUCAAACCCCUCACUAUAAUAACAGCAGUGUUACUGACAUUGAGGUAAAAGUCAUCAAAAUCCAAGGUACAACAGCUAUCCAGUUGCAUUGAGGUAAAAAUCAAACCCCUUACUAUAAUAACAGCAGUGUUAUCGACAUUGAGGUAAAAAUCAUAAAAAUCCAUGGUACAACAACAGCUGUCCAGUUGCAUUGAGGUAAAAAUCAAACCUAUAAGUAUUACAUCAGCAAUCCCGUCAGCAUUGAGGUAAAACAAACACCUCUCAGCAUACAAAUGGCAAUUCUGCCAGCGCUGAGGUCAUUUUGACAACAGUUCUAUCAACAUUGAGAUCAAAAUCAAACCUCAGUAUAAUUCAGCAUUGAGGUAAAAUGUGUAACAACAACACUGAGGUAAAAAGAAGUACCUCUCAGUUUAAAAAACAGCAGUCUUAACCACUUUCAGGUAAAAAUUGUACCUCUCCAUACAUCAUCAGUCAAAUUUAAUAAAUUACUACACUUAUUGAAUUAAUGGAACUUGAAUAUUUCUUGUUGUUCUUUGUGUUUGUAUACUGAGUAUCCUAUUUUUUCUUGUUUAUAGCUCAUAUUAAAACCCGACAUUCUUUCGACAAUGUGAAACAACAUAGUGUAUGUAUCUGUAUAUUUUGAUACAAACAAUUUAUUACUAUAUUAACUACUGUAUGUUCAAGUCAUUUGUGGAAACGUGUGUAACAUUUUGAUAAUAUAUUGUUUAUAUACAGUCCAAAUUCAUUCGCUUGAACUCGGUGGGACCAGAAAAGUUUGUUCGAGUUAGCGGUAGUUCUAGUCAUCAAACAAAAUACAUGAUAGGGAUUUUGCCAGGAUCUGAUGAUGAGUUUGAGCAAAUGAUGUUUUUAACUGGUCAUUCCUGUAUCUAUUCAAUAGCAAUUCCAAUGAGAAAACAUACUUUAAAGAAUGUUACCUACAGUUGUCUUCUUUUUUUUUGCAUGCAUUUGUAUUGGGUUUUUUUUAUUUUUGUGUGUACUUUGUACAUUUUUGUUCUGUUUUACUAACAGAUUGUAUUAUAGCUUAAAUGUACUUAAUAAAAGCUUUAUGACAUUUUUAUAUGCAUAGACCUUUAUUGAAAAUAUUUAAAUUGAAUUUAGGGUAUGAACCCUGAUCAUGAAUUAAGUUAUGAGGAAAGGUUUAAUAGGCUUAUGUGAGGAAAUAUUUAAUUAUAACCAUGUUUAUAUAUUUACUGUAAUACCAAAUUAGAUCAGUGUAAUAAAUGCAUUCCAAAGCUAUUAAAUUUUAAGUCCCUAAUACGGUUGACCUUUUAAUCAACAGUAACUUAAAUCUUUUCAAAGAAGAUAAGUAACAGCUUUUGGGAUUAUUUUUUUUUGUUGGUAUUUGGGUCAGUGGCUAUUUAGACCACAAUAUACUUCUGGUUCUGUGAUAGACAUACACAAAAUGUAAUGUCUCAUAAAAAACUAUUAUUGUUACAGUGACAGGAAAGGAAGGUAAUAAGCCUUACCCGGCUUAAUUUUUAAAAUGGACUUGUCCAUCUUUCAAUUUGGACAGUACCAUUUACUGUUUAAAGGGAUGCUUACCUAAAAGAUACUGAAUAGCGAACAAUGCAGAUCAUGAUCAGACUGCAUGGAUGUGCAGGCUGAUCAUGAUCUGCACUGGUCGCAAAGGCAGAAUCAAUCAUGCCCAGCAUGAUAAGGGUUAUAUAAGUGAGGUCUAAAAUAUGCCAGCAAGCCACUGUGAGCCAAAAAUCUAUGUUGUAUUUUUGCUUGUAGAAAUUAGUAUCUAUACCCUGCUAUUUCAAGACUAUAUAAUAAUUCCAAUAGAUGUGCCUUAAUUCUUCAAAUUGUGAUUAAGGGCAGUUUAAAUUGUAACUUUAACAUAUUGUCUUCUUUCAGUUUUACAAUGUUUUGUCUAAAUUGAGGCAAAGGUUCACUUCAAACCCAGACUUAGACCCAUUUACUCCUUUGGAGCACAGUUAUUUCUGUUUACUAUGUUGUGCAUGUAUGAUUAAAUAAAUAAGGAGUAUACUACAUGGAUGAAACAAAUGAAAAGUUUAACAGCAUUAUUUGUUCAUAUGAUUAUAUGCCUUCUUUACCAAAAAGUGCUUCAAAAAUUUCCAGGAGCUCCUUUGCUGUGCUGUGCUUAUAAUGUUUACCUUGAAUCCCUUAUUAUUUUUUUGUUUUAGAAAACCUAACAUUUUUAAUGCGGGUGCAGUAAGUUUAAAAGAGAGUUAUAUUACAGCACAUUAUUUGAUUUGGAACAACUUUCAAAAAUUACAAAUAUUCUGGUUUAGGGUUAUUCUACAAUACACAUGUAAAUCCAAGUCAGUAUAUCAAACUAUGUAUUUUCUUUAUCAGAAAGUAUUUAUGGCCUACAUUUAGCAAGAUUCAUCAUGUUAGUCAUGUUAUAAUUAUAUUUUUAUUGCUUUCAAAUAUAAAUUAUUCAAAAUGUAUGUUACAUAAAAGUCCUUCUCACAUUCCAAGAUCUGAUUUAUAUUUAAUGACAGUAUGCAUAGAGAACAGAAUUGUCAUAGGAUGUUGACAGUUCUGUCAUUUGUAUUAUACUUAAAUGGACCAAAAUGUAAAAUAAAGGUAUUCUACAAAAUUAA
rnacentral:misc_RNA from 1 species